CCCCAGUAAAGGUCUUCUCUUCAGGCUUAUUGGCAUGAUUUUUUUGGGAGGUGAAUUAACAAGUGAUAGGCCUUUUGGAUAUCACAUGAACUCCAGAGUACUAGCAGUUUCAAAACUGUUCAGCCUGGUACGCAGGAGAGCAAACCGGAUUACUCAGCCUGCAUCACGAUGAUGGGACUGAUAAAGGGCCAUGACUAGCAGACUGGGAGCAGGAGCAGACAGCAGUGGGAGCUGAUGGAUGUUUGGAAGCACAACCCUGGGCUAACAAUGAACUUUGCGACCGCUGAGAUCGGAUGGGGUCCACCUGCCACCACUCUGCUGGCAAGCUGUGUCAGGAUUUCCUGCUGUGUGGCAGGAAGAAGUAAAGGGACACCAGCACUUCUACCUUCCAAACUUCAUGGAGAUAUUUAAGAGACAAGAACUACCACAAGCUCAGAAGCUGGCAACACCCUACUCAUAACCUUAGAUACACUUUCAUUAAAACCUUG